AGUGAACGCUGGCGGUAGGCCUAACACAUGCAAGUCGAACGGCAGCACAGUAAUAGCUUGCUCUUACGGGUGGCGAGUGGCGGACGGGUGAGGAAUACAUCGGAAUCUACUUUUUCGUGGGGGAUAACGUAGGGAAACUUACGCUAAUACCGCAUACGACCUACGGGUGAAAGCAGGGGAUCUUCGGACCUUGCGCGAUUGAAUGAGCCGAUGUCGGAUUAGCUAGUUGGCGGGGUAAAGGCCCACCAAGGCGACGAUCCGUAGCUGGUCUGAGAGGAUGAUCAGCGACACUGGAACUGAGACACGGUCCAGACUCCUACGGGAGGCAGCAGUGGGGAAUAUUGGACAAAGGGCGCAAGCCUGAUCCAGCCAUACCGCGUGGGUGAAGAAGGCCUUCGGGUUGUAAAGACCUUUUGUUGGGAAAGAAAAGCAGCAGGUUAAUACCCCGCUGUUCUGACGGUACCCAAAGAAUAAGCACCGGCUAACUUCGUG
rnacentral:rRNA from 1 species